AGCUCAUGUACUGCAGUAUGUGGGGAGAAGUUUCUAGAUUGCCAUGAGGCCAGGAGAUCGUUGGGGAGAGCAUGAGGACGGAAGGGAAAGGGGCCCCUGCGCAUGCUGUGACAGUUAGUCCCAGACAAACAGUACCUGUGAGAGAGGCAGCAUCCCAGCGGGCAGCUCGAGUGACAGAGCAGAGAGCGGGGGACGGAGACGCUGGCAGAGAGGCAGUCCUGGUAGCGGCGAUGCUAGAGACGCUGCAGGCAUGGAAAUAGGCGCUGGCAAAAAGAUAGUCUCGGUGACAGUGAGGCUGGAGAACGCUGCAGGCAGACAAAUAGCCCCUGGCAUAGAGGCAGUCCCGGUGAUGUUGGAGAGCCAGAGAGCUGUGCAAUAGAGGCGCAAGCAACCAGAGUAAGAGGGAGAACGGUGAGGAGUGAGAUCCUGUCAGUGCUGAGGACUCACUGAUUGGUACAAGAACUACAAUAAGAGGUACCUACACUAUCUGUCUUACAAUAAUCAGACAGAGGGGGUGGAGAGGCAGAGCGUAGAGGAACAAGAGGAAUAGGAGGAGUCGGGGGAGCUACCAGAGGUGAGCAACUAUCCGUUGUGUCGCCUCCCCCUGGCAAGAGACACCAUAAGCAUUCUUCUGUAUUAUAUGGACUGAGGCCAGUUAUAGAAUACACAUUACUAUAUAGACUGUGGCCAAUUAUAUACUACAUACCCAGAGAUGCUACAGGUGCACUAUUGUCACAUAUAGACUGAAAGCCCAGAACUGUAAAGCCUGUUAAAGUAGAAAGCUGCAAAAAGAAGCACCCAUAUCGGGAUAGCUAUUGAAAUAGAGACAUUCCUGAAGGAGGGGCAACUAUAGACUGAAAGAGAAGUAACUAUUAGCGAACUGAAGGCAUACCGUUUCUCUUAUCUACCAGCAUGACGAAAAGAUAGAAACGCCUUAGAGUAAUGAUAGACUUUACUAGUAAAGCCUCACGACACAGAGAAACUGAUGAUACUAAAUCUGGAUAGCUGUCAGGGACAAUAGGAUGUGUAUAUGCUUUGAUAUAGCCAGCUGGUGACCAUUUACCAUCAGAGAGAAAAGUCAGUAAUAACCAGCCCGACCAGUCAGAGUGGAAAAUUAACCCCUAACUGGAUGUUAAGAGGAAAAGUGAGUUAUAAUAACAGUGUCAUCGCUGAGUAAAGUAAAGGAAGCAGUCCAAGCUGGAUAUAUUCUAUAACUGAGGCAGUAUAACUGUAGCAUGUAACAACUCGGAAACCAUGGGCCCCAACAGUGCACAAAUGUUUGUAUAAACACUCGGGUCGAUCUCAUUUUUUAAAGAUCUGAUAUGGUACCAGAGGUAAUUUUUUGUUAUGCAUGCGAAUACAUUGUAUAGGAUGGGGAGAGUAUAAUGAUUAACUUGCGUAAUAAUUAUUAUAUAGGUGGUAAUGUUUGUUGGAACGGUCUAAAGAAUUUAUUGACGCUGAUAGCCCAACUAUAGUUGUACAAUAAAGCUAUUAUACUUA